AAAUUGAAGAGUUUGAUCAUGGCUCAGAUUGAACGCUGGCGGCAGGCCUAACACAUGCAAGUCGAACGGUAACAGGAAGCAGCUUGGCUGCUUUGCUGACGAGUGGCGGACGGGUGAGUAAUGUCUGGGAAACUGCCUGAUGGAGGGGGAUAACUACUGGAAACGGUGGCUAAUACCGCAUAACGUCGCAAGACCAAAGAGGGGGACCUUCGGGCCUCUUGCCAUCAGAUGUGCCCAGAUGGGAUUAGCUUGUUGGUGAGGUAACGGCUCACCAAGGCGACGAUCCCUAGCUGGUCUGAGAGGAUGACCAGCCACACUGGAACUGAGACACGGUCCAGACUCCUACGGGAGGCAGCAGUGGGGAAUAUUGCACAAUGGGCGCAAGCCUGAUGCAGCCAUGCCGCGUGUAUGAAGAAGGCCUUCGGGUUGUAAAGUACUUUCAGCGGGGAGGAAGGUGUUGUGGUUAAUAACCGCAGCAAUUGACGUUACCCGCAGAAGAAGCACCGGCUAACUCCGUGCCAGCAGCCGCGGUAAUACGGAGGGUGCAAGCGUUAAUCGGAAUUACUGGGCGUAAAGCGCACGCAGGCGGUCUGUCAAGUCGGAUGUGAAAUCCCCGGGCUCAACCUGGGAACUGCAUUCGAAACUGGCAGGCUUGAGUCUUGUAGAGGGGGGUAGAAUUCCAGGUGUAGCGGUGAAAUGCGUAGAGAUCUGGAGGAAUACCGGUGGCGAAGGCGGCCCCCUGGACAAAGACUGACGCUCAGGUGCGAAAGCGUGGGGAGCAAACAGGAUUAGAUACCCUGGUAGUCCACGCCGUAAACGAUGUCUACUUGGAGGUUGUGCCCUUGAGGCGUGGCUUCCGGAGCUAACGCGUUAAGUAGACCGCCUGGGGAGUACGGCCGCAAGGUUAAAACUCAAAUGAAUUGACGGGGGCCCGCACAAGCGGUGGAGCAUGUGGUUUAAUUCGAUGCAACGCGAAGAACCUUACCUGGUCUUGACAUCCACAGAACUUUCCAGAGAUGGAUUGGUGCCUUCGGGAACUGUGAGACAGGUGCUGCAUGGCUGUCGUCAGCUCGUGUUGUGAAAUGUUGGGUUAAGUCCCGCAACGAGCGCAACCCUUAUCCUUUGUUGCCAGCGGUCCGGCCGGGAACUCAAAGGAGACUGCCAGUGAUAAACUGGAGGAAGGUGGGGAUGACGUCAAGUCAUCAUGGCCCUUACGACCAGGGCUACACACGUGCUACAAUGGCGCAUACAAAGAGAAGCGACCUCGCGAGAGCAAGCGGACCUCAUAAAGUGCGUCGUAGUCCGGAUUGGAGUCUGCAACUCGACUCCAUGAAGUCGGAAUCGCUAGUAAUCGUGGAUCAGAAUGCCACGGUGAAUACGUUCCCGGGCCUUGUACACACCGCCCGUCACACCAUGGGAGUGGGUUGCAAAAGAAGUAGGUAGCUUAACCUUCGGGAGGGCGCUUACCACUUUGUGAUUCAUGACUGGGGUGAAGUCGUAACAAGGUAACCGUAGGGGAACCUGCGGUUGGAUCACCUCCUUACCUUAAAGAAGC
rnacentral:rRNA from 1 species